CUACGGCCGGACGGAGCUCGUUAUCGGCGCAGCGGCUCCGCACAGGCAGCAGGGGAACGCUUCGGGCUACUGGACAACUUUCAGAGUCUGCUAUGACAUCUCGCAGGUGGUUCCACCCCAACAUCACUGGAAUCGAGGCAGAGCAGCUCCUGUUGACACGGGGAGUUCACGGCAGUUUCUUGGCCCGACCGAGCAAGAGCAAUCCUGGGGAUUUUACCCUCUCCGUCAGGCGUAACAGUGAGGUGACCCACAUUAAGAUCCAGAACUCUGGAGACUACUAUGACCUGUACGGAGGUGAGAAGUUCGCCACGCUAGCCGAGCUGGUGCAGUAUUACACCGAACAACAGGAUCUCCUCCGUGAGAGGAACGGCCAUGUCAUCGAGCUCAAGUAUCCGCUCAACUGCAAAGACCCGACCUCUGAGAGGUGGUACCACGGGCAUCUCUCAGGUAAAGACGCAGAAAAACUGCUGACAGAAAAAGGCAAAGCUGGCAGCUUUCUGGUACGAGAGAGCCAGAGCCAGCCGGGAGACUUCGUCCUCUCGGUUCUCACAAACGAAGAGAAACAUGAAAACGUGGACCGCAAGACCAAGGUCACCCACGUUAUGAUUCGCUGCCAGAGGGACGGCAAAUAUGACGUGGGCGGUGGGGAGCGGUUCGACACCCUGGCUGACCUGGUGGACCACUACAAGAAGAACCCCAUGGUGGAGAAAAGUGGCAUCGUAGUCCACCUCAAACAGCCUUUUAACGCCACGAGGAUAAACGCUGCCAACAUAGAGAACCGGGUACGAGAACUCAACAAAGUCGCAGACAACUCUGAGAAACCCAAACAAGGAUUCUGGGAAGAAUUUGAGGUACUUCAGCAGCAGGAGUGCAAACUGUUGUAUCCCAGGAAAGAAGGCCAGAAGCCAGAAAACAAGAGUAAAAACAGAUACAAGAAUAUCCUCCCCUUUGACACGACGCGAGUCGUUAUCAAAGAAACGGAUCCAGAAGUCCCUGGUUCGGAUUACAUCAACGCCAAUUAUAUCAGAAUUACGCAUGAAGACGGACGCCACGUAGAGGAGAGCAAAGUCUUCAUCGCCACCCAGGGGUGCCUCCAGAACACGGUGACGGACUUCUGGAAGAUGGUGUAUCAGGAGAACGCACACGUCAUCGUCAUGACCACAAAGGAGAUGGAGCGAGGCAGGAACAAGUGUGUUCGUUACUGGCCAGACCUCCACUCCACUAAAGAGUUUGAAAAGCUGCUGGUGAGGAAUGUGGAGGAGCGGCCGGCUCACGACUACAUCCUCAGGAAGCUGGAGGUCACGCGUCUGGACCGGAAAGAGCCUGUGAGGUACAUUUGGCACUAUCAGUACCUGAGCUGGCCGGACCACGGGGUGCCUAAUGAGCCUGGUGGGGUGCUCUGGUUCCUGCAGGAGGUCAACCGCACACAGAGCACCAUUAAAGACACCGGACCCAUUGUUGUCCACUGCAGUGCAGGCAUCGGCAGAACCGGCACCAUCAUCGUCAUCGACAUCCUCAUCGACGUCAUCAACAGACAAGGUCUCGACUGUGACAUCGACAUCCCCAAGACCAUCCAGAUGGUCCGGCAGCAGAGGUCGGGCAUGGUCCAAACAGAGGCCCAGUACAAGUUCAUCUACAUGGCGGUGCAGCAGUACAUAGACACAGCCCAGAAGAGACUGGAGGAGGAGCAGAGGAAUAAGUUAAAGGAGAGRGAAUAUUCCAACAUCAAAUAUCCUCAAAUGACCAACUCCAGGUCCAAACACAGCAUGGCGUCCUCGCGCUCCUCCUCUGUAAUGACAAACGACGAUUCUUCAAGUGUUUACGAGAACAUAAACUUCAAAACCCCUCAGACGUCUUUUAGCAGCAACACCAGGAGGUAAAACUGUCACUGCGGACGUCUCUCUUCUCUGCCUCGCUAUUUGUAAAUAAGGCUUGCAGCCUUAUCAAGCACCCACAGCAGCCGACACAYGACGUUCUGUGAUCUUCUUUGCCUGGAGUGGCUGAUGAAAGAUUGUAGAAUAACCAAAAUCCAGUCUCCUCUGCGGCUCUAAACAGAAGACACUCAUCUUUUGCACGAGUCGUUUMGUUCAAAGAUGUGAAAUUCAUGCAAAGGAUUCAUUUCCAUGCAGUCGGUKAUAAGAACAAGACUUUAUUUAGAGUCUGGCAGCUGCUUAAAGGGACUCCAGGCUGGUAUUUACUCCCCCAUCACAUCCCACCACCAACAGCGGACACCCCAGGAUGUCGGUACCGGUCUCAGUUUAAACCUCUGACGUUCCUUCAAGUUUAUUCUUUUGAUCAUGUUAGCUGACCUGAAAUAAAAUAAGCAAGUCUCUUUUAUAAAUCGUAUUAAAGCAGCAGAGGAGAGGAAAUCAUUAACUAACGUUCUCAGAACCUGUUGGUCGUUAAAGUAGCCCAAACAUCUAAGUUUACUGUUUCUUUAUACAAACUCGAAAUUUCUAUGAAAACGACUGCGUCACGGCUGAAUAAAAAGAAGUUCCCGGGAUCUGUGUGGGAGGAGAAUGAAAAGUUACAGCUUAAGUUCUGAUCAAGGUUGAAGGGUUUUUGUAUCCAUCCAGUCCGGUCCUGGGUCUGAGGGAGCUCAGAGUUCUGUGUGUUUCUAAAAACGUGUCUCUCUGAGCUCCUCAAAGCUACAGCUAAACACGAACACGAGCACAAAGCUGCAUCGCAAACUUUAAAACAUUUAGUCGAUAAACACUUAUCGUUAAGUUGUCAUCAUUUAUGUUUAUACAAAAUGUAUUUAUUAAAAUUUAUUAAAACUCCACUUUCUAACAUCCUAUCCAARUACCUAAGAAAUACUUUUGUUUUUGCUUUUAGAAGAUAGUUUAAUGUAGAAUGCAUUUAUGUUGCUUUUUAUUGCAGAUAAUAUAAUGCAUAUCACCAGCUGCUGUUCAUGCCAGAGUUUUAGACUAAAAUCRUCUCAUUUUAAGCAAAUGUUGUCAUUUUGGUCAAACCUUGAUAAUAACCUUAUUAUYAGACAAAAGUGUGGAUGAAUCUCAGCUACUACUACUUAAAACUAUCUGUAUAAUGAGCUGAGUGGUUUUGUUGAUUAGAAUAAAAAAACAUCAACAGUUUAUCAGAUUGUACGUAGAAUCGUUAUAUUCGGGAUAAAUCCCACCACCAAGACUUCACAACCAGUCCCACACGUGAAAAUACAAG